GGGAGGAGGAGAUGGCUAGCAAGAGGAUUCAGAAGGAGCUGCAGGACCUGCAGAGGGAUCCGCCGACGUCGUGCAGCGCCGGGCCGGCGGGGGAGGAUUUGUUUCACUGGCAGGCGACAAUUAUGGGGCCGGGGGAUAGCCCGUAUUCCGGCGGAGUGUUCUUCGUCAUGAUCCAUUUUCCGCCGGAUUACCCGUUUAAGCCGCCGAAGGUCAAUUUUCAGACGAAGGUUUACCACCCGAACAUCAACUCUAACGGUAGCAUCUGCCUCGACAUCCUCAAGGAACAAUGGAGCCCUGCUCUGACCAUAUCGAAGGUGCUUCUCUCGAUCUGCUCCCUUCUGACAGACCCCAACCCAGAUGACCCUCUCGUCCCCGAGAUUGCUCACAUUUACAAGAAUCAGAGGUCUCGCUACGAGGAGACAGCCCGAGCAUGGACCCAG
rnacentral:misc_RNA from 1 species